UUAUGCCUUGGGAAGAGAGCUUUCCUUAAAUACUGUGGAGUCUCGAGAUACCGCAAGAUCCUUAUGAGAAAAGGCGCACCACUUUCAUUCUCACCAGAGUUAUUGACAGUGUUCACAGUGGGAUCCUCAAUCACUAAACUACUCUUAUUGUCAAACACCACAACCUCAUCGAUUCGAAAUAUGGUCGCGGCACGAGCAAUCUGACCAGCCAAUCGAGUAGCGAGUUCAAGAGAUUGAGCGUUGUCGAUAAUGGAACCGGGGACGGCUAUGCUUACUGUACGUUUCCCAUUCGCUUCGUUCUCUUCUUUCUCAGUCUCAUUUAUUUCCUUCUUCUUCUUUUUCUUCUUCAUCUUCCUAUGAGAAUCGCCAUUAAUGAACUCAUCGACCUCGAGGACUUUUCUCUCUGCUUCUGCUUCUGCAUCAGCAUCAGCAUCUGUUUCUGCUCUUUUCUUCUUCUUCCCCAUUCCCUUUUCUGCUGGGGUUUGUAAACGCACGUUUGACGGUUUUCCUGAGACUGUUUAUUAGGAGGCCGCUUCAAAUCGCG
rnacentral:misc_RNA from 1 species